CGCUCCGGUACCUUCCCGUUGGUUGAUGUCGUCGCUCCUCUCCUCUUUCCCUCAUCGGACUGCCGGCAGAAGGUGGAGGCGGAUGCGGGAGCGGGACGUGGAGGUGGAUACGGGGGCGGCCUUUAUCAUGUUACCGGUUCCUUUAUCCGUCCUACACGGCGAAGGGCCUACCUGUACCUGUACGAAGAGGUUGAGACGAAGAAGGACCCAGCGGUACCUUCGAAUUUGUCCAUAUCCUGCCCGUCUACAGCGCUUUCCUUAUGAGUACCAAAGACUUCUGACUGAUACGAGGGGACUCAUGAUGUGUUGUUGUUUGAGUCCUGUUGAGUCGGCUCUUGAAAUUUUCUCGUUUGUUCUAAGACCGAAACUCAGACUCGACCAUUAAAGACUAAUAAAAGCGAACUUACACAUUUCAAAACAGAAAGAAAAGAAGCUAGUGUACAGGAAAAAAUAUAAAUCCAGGUGUAUACCCUACCGAGACCCGCUUGUUGGAAGUAUAACUACUUACUUACCUUGGUAUACGGUUCUAGGAGCCAGAAGACUGGUCCUCCAGUAUAGAAGAGUUAGUUUAAACGGUAAGAUAACGGAUACGAAUUAAAGAACGUAUUCUAACAAUAUUUAAUUAACAUGUCAACACAACCAGUAUCAGAAAAUAGAGGAUCGAUGAAGAAUUCCGAAAACAUGACGUAAUGAUGAUUAAUCGGUUUAAUUAGGGGUAAUGACAAUAAAGGAGGACGUUGUAGCAUUAAGUUAAACUUACGCCUCGUGACCUUACGCCUCAUGUUAAGAUAAUGAGUUCAGGUCUCCUAGAGCAGUCGAAUGUGACUUGGACAUAUAAAGAAACCAUUUUUUUUCUCCUACAGGACGAAAAGAAACCUGUCAUGUUAAGAUAAUGAGUUCAGGUCUCCUACUACAUAGACCUGUCACCCACGCAUUAUGUCACGGUUUAGACAAACGAAACGGACUAUAUUAUUUGGAAUAAAAGUCAGAAGUCUAAUAGGUGGACCAUAAGAUAAAUCGAUAUACCAACAACGUUCUCAGAAAGUUCUCAGACCGGAACGGCCGAAAUGCGUGGUGUGUUAAAAUGGUGCCAGGACAAUUCAGGGCACUGAAGUCUAAUAGGUGUGUUAAGACAAACAAAGGGGAACACACUACUUUUGUGUUCUCCGCCGAAUACGAUAGUAUUCAAGUCUUGUCCGUUGAGAUUAGAUAAUGAUUAUGACGAUGAUUACGUGAGUAUUAUAAGUCACCUUCCUGUCCGUUUCUCAAACAAACGUAAGAAAAACGAACUAGAGAACCUAAUGUAUAAUGCGUAUAUUAUUGUACGAACACAUUCAAGAAGACAAAAACGUUAAAUAAAGUCGAAAGAUAAACACUUUCACGAGUAAACGUAUACGGUUUUCUUGGUCUUACACGAACGAGUGCAUCAGUGUAGUCAGUAGACUAGCUACCGUACGAACGUUAGUCGUCUUUUACGAAUGAAAUGGGCGUUUUUUUACGAAUGAAUGAAUCCUGGAACAACUGACGCUCGAGUUGUUGGUACCACCUAUACGACAUACAUACAUCGUCUCUACGUCUUGAUAUCCAUGUUCGUCUGUGGUGUAUGACUUUAAGUUUUGACACAUUACGAGUCACAUUUGUUAGGCCAAUACAUCUCAAAACUAAAUUCAAAAAGAAACAGGCAACUCUUCUGAAUAGAUGGCUGACUACAUCGACCGUGAUAUUAGAGAGCGAGUUUUCUACAACUCUUUUACGUUUUUGUCAAUACUACCGACUUUAUGUAGAUUACCCUAGUAAGUUGUAGGUUAAAUGGCUUAUAAACUGUAUCUUUCCUGUAGCAUACAGUGAUACGUACACGGUUAAAAGCACAGCAAACACGUCAACUUCUGUUCCCGAUGGUUACCUCUUUCUCACGUGUACCACCGGCUCUCCCUCCAUUACUUUCUUUUACAAA
rnacentral:rRNA from 1 species